rnacentral:rRNA from 1 species
GUCAACGGCCGUACCACCCUGAACGCACCCGAUCUCGGCUGAUCUCGGAAGCUACGCAGGGUCCAGGGUUGGGCCUGGUUAGUACUUGGAUCGGGUGCUGCAGGCU